GUUAAAAUAUCAAUUUUAAUUAAUUCAUAUAUCUAUUUAUCAUAUCAAGGCUUACCAAUUUUGUUUCACUUACUUUACAGUGGCUAUGUAUGAUUCAUACUUAUGAUGCUAUGAUGUAUGUGACAUCCAUUUCCAUGCAUGAUGACUAUGGGAUUAAAGCACUAAAAACAGACCUGUGUACAGGCCAAGGCUCAGGAAGCUGGGCUCUAAAGCCAGGCAGCAGCACCAAGACAAAACAUGCCUCUGCAACUUUGCAGUCAACUUUCUCUCCAAAGACUUGGAUUCUGAAAAUCAACCAACACAACAGCUGUGGAUAGGUCAGAGCCCCCUUCUCUGACUAAUUAAAAAUGUUUGAGAGAACUAAGACCUCUGAAAACUGUAAACUUGCCUUUCAAGCCUCUGUGGACAUUGACACAUAAUCCUCUGCCUUGUAAGAACACACACCAUCAAAGCCUAGUUGUACAGAUGUGAAAUAAGUAGAGUGGAGUUUUAAUCAUGCAGAUACAACUUCUGAUGCUUUUGAACUUAAUUGUUGUCAGUAAUAACUGCUCUUAACGAAAAAGUUCUUUUUGAAAAUUAUGUUAUGGCAAGAUAUCAUGGGAGAACUUCUUGGUAGACUUUUACUAAUUCUACCCUUAAUAUCUUAGUAACUUUCUCUCAGGAAGGUACUAUCAGUUGAGGGUAUAAGAUACAGAAACUACAAAAGGGAAUCAUAUGAAAUAAUGUGCAGGUAAGUAGAUUGUGUCCUAUGAGAUACUUUUGGAAAGUGUGCUGUCCAUUUUGUCCUGACAUUUGUCUUUUCAUAUCAGAUCUCUAUCUUUUACUCUGUAUCUUCUAAAGUUAGAGGAAAAACAGCCACUCCUACUUCACUGAGCAAGAAAUUGCUUUCACCAAGUUAGAAGUCACUCUGCAUUUUAUCUUAAAUAUCUCUCCAACUUUCUAAACUUACUCUUACGUUGUCUCUGACUUGAUUUGAUUCCCUCAUUGAAUCCCAUUCUCCCCUUAUCAUUUUAAAUCUCUCUGUAGUCAGCUCUGUGAGACAGCCAUCUUUCAUUUCUGAUACUGCUCUAUUCAUUUUAUCUCUGUUCAGAGAAUGUCUGCAUGAAACAACCAGCUUUUCUAUUAAAUAUACAUGAGGUAACUUCACAUGGAUUCAGCAGAAUUCUGUCUGCUGGAAAGGCAUUGCAUUUCAUUCCCAGGCAUUUGGGGAGUGGAUUAUUCAUCAUAUUUCCUGGAACAUGAUGGCUUUUAAUAAAUUAUGAGUCUGUGUCUCA
rnacentral:lncRNA from 1 species